GAGUAGGAGUUCCCUCCUGUGCCUGGGGAGGCUUGAAGAGCAAGCAGCCGGAACGCGGAGAGCGGAAGAUGGGCAGUUAUGACAGCAAACAUAAGCGUGAGAAGAAGUUUUGAAACUACAGAUCCUAAAACCCAGCAAGACAGGCACCUGCAGCCCACACUGCUGUAACAGAGAAAAAAAAAUCCUACUUAGCAAUUGCA